UAUGGCCAUAUCACAUUGAAACACUGGUUUCCAUCUAAUUACCAAAGUUAAGCAACAUUGAACUUAGUCAGUACCUAGAUGGGUGACUACGUGGGAAUACCAGGUGCUGUAA